rnacentral:rRNA from 1 species
UACAGAGGGUGCGAGCGUUAAUCGGAAUUACUGGGCGUAAAGCGUGCGUAGACGGCUAUCUAAGUCGGGUGUGAAAGCCCCGGGCUCAACCUGGGAAUUGCAUUCGAGACUGAAUAGCUAGGGUACGGUAGAGGGAAGUGGAAUUUCCGGUGUAGCGGUGAAAUGCGUAGAUAUCCGGAGGAACACCAGUGGCGAAAGCGGCCACCUGGACUGUACCUGACGCUCAAACGCGAAAGCUAGGGGAGCGAACGGG